UACGGAGGGGGCUAGCGUUUGUUCGGAAUUACUGGGCGUAAAGCGCACGUAGGCGGCUUUGUAAGUUAGAGGUGAAAGCCCAGGGCUUAACCCCUGGAAUUGCCUUUAAGACUGCAUCGCUUGAAUCCAGGAGAGGUGAGUGGAAUUCCGAGUGUAGAGGUGAAAUUCGUAGAUAUUCGGAAGGAACACCAGUGGCGAAGGCGGCUCACUGGCCCGAUACUGA
rnacentral:rRNA from 1 species